CAGUCGCCGCGGUAAUACGUAGGUGGCAAGCGUUGUCCGGAAUUAUUGGGCGUAAAGGGCUCGCAGGCGGUUUCUUAAGUCUGAUGUGAAAGCCCCCGGCUCAACCGGGGAGGGUCAUUGGAAACUGGGAAACUUGAGUGCAGAAGAGGAGAGUGGAAUUCCACGUGUAGCGGUGAAAUGCGUAGAGAUGUGGAGGAACACCAGUGGCGAAGGCGACUCUCUGGUCUGUAACUGACGCUGAGGAGCGAAAGCGUGGGGAGCGAACAGGAUUAGAUACCCCAGUAGUCCCUGUCUCUUAUAA
rnacentral:rRNA from 1 species